AAGUCGUAACAAGGUUUCCGUAGGUGAACCUGCGGAAGGAUCAUUAACACGUAUCCAACGUUAAAACCCCCCCGUGAACCUUCAGUGUGCUCGUACGCUUUGUUAGAAAGUAGCAAUCCCUGGUAAAUCAUCGCCGAACAGUUUUGAUUCAGGGACUUCUGCGAAGAGUGUGCUUGUAGCGCGAGGCAAGUGGCCUGGCAUCCUUGUCUGAAAGUGUCAAGGGUGGCGCAGUCACGAUCGCUAGAGGCCGACACGGCCGGCGAACGGGCAUGAAAACGGGCCUGCGCUUAAUUGUGCGGCCAUAAACCGAACAACUGUUAACAAUGGAUAUCUUGGUUCUC
rnacentral:misc_RNA from 1 species